GACGUAGGGCGCGAGCGUUGUCCGGAUUUAUUGGGCGUAAAGAGCGUGUAGGCGGCCAGGUAGGUCUGGUGUGAAAACUCGAGGCUUAACCUUGAGAUGUCAUCGGAAACCAUUUGGCUAGAGUCCGGAAGAGGAAAGUGGAAUUCCUGGUGUAGCGGUGAAAUUCGUAGAUAUCGGGAGGAACACCUGUGGCGAAGGCGGCCAUCUGGACGACGACUGACGCUGAGACGCGAAAGCGUGGGUAGCAAACAGG
rnacentral:rRNA from 1 species